UGUUACUUCUUCUGCAAGAGGCACAAGAAUUGGCUACGGUAUCCUGGACUUUCUGGCAGAUGGAAAAAGAAACUGAACUCGCUGCCAGCCUCAGGAGUCGUUGACUACAAUUUCAGUUUAACCAGCCCAAGCUUCAGCCUAAGCCCCGAGUACCAUUCCUAUUCCCAGGCGCAGGCUCAAACCCAGGCCCAAUUUUGCCCGCCUUGCGGUUAAAAGCAAUUAAUUUUGCAGGUUUAUUAUUGCCCUGGCACAUCUUUGCCUGUUUGUCAUUUAAAACGAUAUUUAUCAUUGUUGCCGGCUCGAGCUCAUUUGCAUACUCCGAAAAUGGGCCACUCGCCGCUGAGGGCCAAACUAGGAACCGGAACUGGGAACUGGGAACUUGAAUCUGGGAACGGGGAACUGAAACAGAAACUGAGACUGGGAGUGUCCUACGCCCGAUAACUUUUACUACGUAUUUUUAGUAUUUUAUUCUCUUUUUUUUCUUGGCCGUUUCCUUUCUUGUGUCUAUUUGCUUUUAUUUUUGUUGUUUUGUUUUCUUUUUUUGUGGUGGGAAGGCCUGGCAGCUUUUUCACUUCAUCAAUUAACCAAAGGCACCAAAAUUGUGUUUUUGUCUCUAAUUAGCAUGCACAUAAACAGAGUGAAUCCUAUUAAGGACCCUCUGCUCCCUCCAGCUGCCCCGACCCCGAGCCCCAAAGACGCCCCCGCCCCCACUUCUACCCACAACCGAACCCAAGCCAUCGAAGUUGUAAAAACUGAGCGAUAAAUACUGUGGCAAGUGGGCGACGGUCAUCAGCUUAGAGCUCGUAUACAUCAGGAGUCUUGUCUCAUUACCAGCUCAAAGGAGAGGGGCGAGCGCGUGCCGGGUGGGGGGCUGCUGCGAUGGCGAAAGGGCGGUUGACCGGUUGGACAUUAGCUGGUGGCAAUGUUGGUGAAAAGAAACCAACACUCAAGAGAAUGUCACCAACAAAAAAGAAACAAAAUGGAAAGCUAUACUUGCCUAGGCGAUACCCUGUACUCAGGCAUUACUUCGCUUUCUAGUUUGUUAAAUCUCUGAUAAACGAGCAAUUAACAGACAUCAUCUAGCUCUUGAUGGCGCACACACGCAACACUAUAAGAUAGCCUUGAUUCUGCCCGUUUAAUACGCACAGCUAAUUAUGCCUGAUUAAUGCAAUUAGCGGCCAUUUUCGAACAAAGGCAAAUGCACGCCUCAUGAAUGGAAGAAGCUGGCCAACAUCACAAAUAUACUUUGAAGCAUGGCUGCAAGCGGGCUUUGAGCCGAACCGAUGCCGGCCGGACUUCCAAUUCAUUUUGUACCAACAACUGAACUUAAACACCAAACGAAAGAUGUCUCAAAUAUGGCACACAGCAUUAAUUGCUUGAAGUGUGGAGUAUAAGGGGCAACUGUAGUUUAAAGCAUCAAUUUUUUAAUUAAGCUUUGUUUAUAUACAUCUUUCUUUAUCAAUUAAUAAUUGGGCUAAUACUAAAAUAUAUAUUUUAAUCCGAAUUUUACAGUAUGUCGGAUACAUCAAUCUGCUGGCUGUAAAGGAUGACGAGAGCUCCGAAACUUGAAUAUUGAGAGGAUUGAGAUGACCAGAGCAUGCGAUUAUAAGUCUUUACUGCAGGCUAGCUAAUCAAGUCAACAAAGGAGUUGCACCCCUCCAGUUCAGGCCAAUUGUCGAUUUAUGUAAAGGGCCUCAGAAGAACACACGCCUUUUCAGAGCAGGACACUCUGAUGUCAAGCGAAAGGUUUUAUUUGUUUUUAUUUUUCAAAUAAACGCCCUUAGUUAAGACAGCUUCUUGGCCAGGCCAGGCCAGUCCCAGAUUUAGUCUAAUUAAAAAAAAAAAUCAACGGAGCCAUGUCGCUAUAAAACGACAUAAUCUAUUCUGAAGGAGUUAGUUGGACCUAUGUCGCUAUAAAACGACAUAAUCUUUUCUGGAGGAGUUAGU